CCCAUGCGAUCAAUCAUAUUGAAACAAUUUUUCCUUGUAGAUCCUGCGGUAAUGCCUACUCGAAUUAUAACAUUUUACAGAACCACAUACGCGCCGUGCAUAAUCCCAGACAAUUGUUUCACUGUAGGUACUGUGACAAACCCUACACGAACCGUCACUCUUUAUCUAUGCACGAACGCCUUAUGCAUAGAGACAAGCGCUUUUCAUGUACGACAUGCGAUAUAAUAUUUUCAUCAAAGCUUGAGCUACGACGUCAUCUAAAAACUUCUAUCCAUCGAAGAAGGUUUUGUCUCAUGAAAGGAGACAUUAAUCCACCAGAUAGAUUAUAAACGUAUCACAAUUCUUGUGGGCACAACAGCUACUUUGAUUAUUUCACCAUUAGUUUUUAAGAUAUCUGGCGAGUUCAUCGCCAGCACUAUUUGACCGACAAAUUUAUAGAGAAAAUGACUCAAGUGUGAGACCAGACAAUUGUUAUAAAUGUCACCAAUUAAUUACG